rnacentral:tRNA from 1 species
GAGAGAGGCUGGCUAGCAACGAAAACUGCUAAUUUUCGUAACCUUGGUUGAACCCCAAGGCUCACUCG